GGGGUGUAGAAAAGAGGGAAAGCAUUAUUGUAAUAAUCUUGAUUGUAUUUGGAAGAAAAGAAAAUGAAAAUGUAAAUUGUAAAAGCAUGUGAUGUGAAUGCUUGUAAUAGCUUAGUUGUUUAUGUUUUUGAUACUUCCUUAUGCAAUCUCUGCUUGAAUACUGUUCCUGAUUGGAACCUCGUGAAUUGUAUUGAUUGCGACGCUUAGGACGUACAGGAAAAACUCUGUCCGUUCGGCAGUCUGUUAGCGGGCCUGAAUCCGACCAAAUAGG
rnacentral:lncRNA from 1 species